rnacentral:lncRNA from 1 species
UGGGCUAGGUUUGGGUCAGUGCAGUUUCAAAUCCAAGUAAUUUGCAAUCAAUGUUCAAUUCAUAUUUAAAAUAGAUCAUAUUUUUUGAUCCAAGCCUCAUCCCAAUAAUUUGGCUUGGACUGGACCAGAUCAUUUUCAGGUUUAUUCCAGAAUAAAAGCAAUUCACAAUCCUCUCCACUUGCAGCCCUAAUCUUUAUGU